UACGUAGGCAGCAAGCGUUGUUCGGAGUUACUGGGCGUAAAGGGUGCGUAGGCGGCUUCUUAAGUCUGGUGUGAAAUCUCCCGGCUCAACUGGGAGGGUGCGCCGGAUACUGAGGGGCUAGAGUGUGGGAGAGGAAAGUGGAAUUCCUGGUGUAGCGGUGAAAUGCGUAGAUAUCAAGUGGAACACCAGUGGCGAAGGCGAGUCUCUGGACAUUUCCUGACGCUGAGGCACGAAAGCCAGGGGAGCAAACGGG
rnacentral:rRNA from 1 species